GUAGAAUGCAACUGUUGAACAUUACAUAUCUUAUUGAUCUUCCUUUCCCAAACAAAUUUGAUUGGGCAAAAUAAUGCUCUUUCAUAUACUAAUAGUUUUUAACAUAAAACUUCCUAACCCAAACAUUUACAGAACCACAUCCAAUAGUCUCAGGGUUGGCUAAAACUGUAAUAACGGCUAUUGAGCAAUGAUUAACCUGACUACAUCAAGCAUACUACACUCAAUGUCCAACUGGAUGGAUAAUAAGUCACAUGAGGAAAAUCCUGGAAACAGGUGUUCUCAGAAAUUUCAAGUCACCUCCAAACCGUCUCAUUUGCAUCCGUGAAAAUUGUAUUGUGCUGUUCUAUGAGGCAUUGAACAACCUCAAUAGCGCCAAAAUCCACUGGUGUACCAUCAUCAUCCAGGGGAAUGGGAGAUGAAACAUCCGUGCCUUCACCUUCUUCUGUAGCCAUAAAAGAGAAGAAUUAAAUCCCCACUAAUAGAUCCAUCACAGUAUUUCUACUUGGCGUGAAGAAAAUGGAAGUAAGCACAUUAAAAGUGUCAUCCACUGAAAUAAAAGCCUAGAUAUCUGAUGGAUUGAUUGUUAAUCGCAUAUAAAAUAAUGCCAUUUCAUGGGGAACAUGAUGCCUUUUAUGUAUUUUUUUUUCUGUGCUAUACAGGAAUUGUUUAAAGCGACACACCAGAAAGCAUGUCCCAUGCACUGUAAGUAGGUGCUGGAGCCAUGCUCUUCUUGGAAGGACUUUUUGAUGUGGGACUCCAAUAUUGCCUGUAAGAAUCUGGCUUCUGCUCUUUCUGCCACAUAAUGACAGGGGCUAUUUCCAUGGCAAGGCUUCGCGCAUCCAUCUGCAGAAGACAACAAACCAUGCAGUGUGUUUAUCAUACAACCAUCCAAUACCUAACAAUUCUAGCCAAUGAUGAAAUACCUCGAUGGAUUUCACGUACAUGCUCUAAAAGUUAUUCAAAGAGGAAAAGGCAAAAGAGCCUAGAUGAUCAUUUUGUAGGAUACUUGAAAAAUUUUAUUUAUUAAGCAAGUCACAAGGAAAAAACAGAGCAGGUUAUAUUUAAAACACUUGUCACUUGAUGAAUCACACAACCAAUAAAGAGAUACCACCUGCAAAGUCCUCUCACCAGCUCAUUGUUUGGCUUAUCGGUUAUCUAAAGUUGGGAAACAAAUUAUUGGUUCGAGAUGCAUUAAAAUGGUUGCCAAAUGCCAAUGCAUGAUGACAGUGCAUGUUGUGAAGGUAAAUAAUCAUAAAUCCUUACCUAUAUAAUCUAACUGCAGAAACAUGUCAACCAGCAGAUAAAUGAAAGACAUAUAGACAUAUGCGCGUGGUCAUGCAGCACCACACACAAACAAGAAACUAAGCUGCAAAAAAUCAAUAAUGCCACAUAAAAAUACAACUUACCAUAAAACACAGAAUAAUGUGAGCAUGCAUUCUUAAACAGUGCAUAUAUUAUUAAUCCAUUAUGUAUGCUUCAGAAGAGCACCAUAUAUGAUAAAGCAGAAAAAGAACAUGCCAUUUGUUCCAUCAAAUAUUUGGGCUUUGAAAUCACUGAAAAACAUCUCAACAUGAGCCCUUUCUUAUGCAAUCACCAGUCCCCUCAGUGGGACUAGGAGCGGGGACACAGCUCAUAUGUUCCACAGUUCCACACGCAUAUACACAAAUAUACAGGGAGAGAGAAACCCAACAAUUUUUUUGGGGGCGGGCAUUGUGCCUUGCCUUGUUAAGAGAUGACUUCUGGCUGACAUAGAGCAGCAGCGCAGUGAUUAAUUCCAAAGUCAUAUAGUUUACAGUAGGAAGUUUCUUCAGGAUGUUUUUCACUGCAUGUAUGCUAGAAUGAGCACUUUUAAUCCCAUUGUAGAGCUCAAAUGUUGUUAGGGGUUCCGGAAGGCUUGCAAGGUAAUAUUUUAUCAGAGCUGCCACAUCAAGUGGAUUCACACCUUCUGGCAAUGAAGCAUUGGAAUCUAGAACAUAUUUAUAACAACAUUAAAAUAUAGUAUCACCGUACUGAAUCAAAUUAUCGUCAAUUCUGAGCACAAACCAGUUUAAAUACCUUGGUUGUAUAAAGAAAACAAUUGCUGAAUAACUCUUAUAUCUCCUUCCUCUUUAAACAAGUACAUUGAGUUUAAUCCUAGCAAGGAAAGCAAUAAUGAUUAAUCUCAGUCUACAACAAGCAGCAAAGUAAUGGAUAAGUACCAAGUUCCCAUCUGAUUUUCAUAUCAAUAACCUGAUAAUAUAAGAUAAUCUGCACAUUUGACCAAAAUAUGGGGAACAAGCCUGCUGGACUGUUGUCGUUGUACAGUGACCUCAAUUGGAACUCCAAAUACUGAAGAUAAAUAGUAAUAAGCAGCUGUCAAUAUAUCUACUACUACUAAGGAUAGUUAUUUUUACUGGAACAUACAAGAAGCAGGACAAGAUUUUCCAAAAUAUAAAGAAUAAAAUUAGAUCCACCGAAACAAAUUUUGGUCUACAAACAAAUAGUUAGUUCCUGAUGGUAGUAACUGUAUGCACCCCACAAAUAAAAUUUUCCUUGGUCUGAACAAAGUUCCAACAAGAAUUGGAUACAAACAGAUUCAACUUUGAAGUUGAAGAAGCAGAAAAGGGGAAAACAGUAGAAAUUCUCAUUAAAUAGCCAAGGUGUUUAAAGUUUGGUAAUCUUACCAUCAGUGCUCGCAACUCCCUGGAAAUGGACAACAAAGGGAGAAUAUCAAAACAUAUAAGCGCAUGCAAAAAUAAAAUAGAAAGCAGCCUCAGAAAGUCGGAAUAUUAUACCUUUUGCCAUCUUUCAAUAUCAGUCAAAAUGGUCUUACUCUUUAGAGCGGUCUUUUUUGCCACCUGCAAGAAAUUCACCAUCUCAGAUGUCUCAAUCACCAAUGCUUGCUUUAUAAACCAAUCUUAAGUGUUAUGCUGUUGUGAACAAAGAUAAGCAUCCCUGAUGAUUGGCUUUCCUAUCAUCUUUACUUUAAGUAUUGUAUACUGUAUCAUAUCAUGUAUUAUAAGUUCAUAAUGUUAUAGAGAAUAAUAAACUAUACAAGUGUGCAACAAUAUCCAAAACAAGGGAUUUUGUGGAUAAGAUAUCACAUACUCAUUCCCUCCAAUCUAACACAUAAACAUGGCCUGUGGUCCUAUAUAUGAGAAGUGUUAGAAAACCUCUAUAAUAGCAUGCUUCAAGCUACUUUGAGGCUUGAGUGCAUUAAGAUUCAAAAAGGAAAUACCUACGUAACAUCCUCAAAUUUUGCUAAAAUAAACAAGAAGUAACCUAAUAAAAGGAACAAUACAAUUCAUAUUUCUCUUUCUUGGAAUUCUGUUUCUGUCAUCAUAAUUUGUUGUAUUCUUUUUCAUAUUAUCCAGCAUUAUCUUGUCAAAGUGAUAAGAAAAGCUCAACCAUGUAAAAAUCAAUCAGACAACCUUAAACCUUAAACUGGAAUAUUUCAAUUGAAUCAUCUAAAUACAUACCAAAUUUCAAAAUUCAAUUUUCUAGCAGAAUUACCUCUUCAACUUUUGUCUUACCAACAGCAACUUUCUCCUUUGUAUCUGACAUGCCCUUCCUCAAGAACAUGCCAGUUGUAGCAGCUGCAGUUAUCAAAUGUUCCUGCAAAACAUGCCUGGUUGCUGGCUCCCGAAGAAAUGCCCAUCGACUUUUAACUGCUGACCCAAACCGUUCUGCUACAUCAGUGACAUUACCUUUUGCAUCCUUAGCAACUUCUCCCACAAAUGUUCCAGCUGAUUUCCCAGCUUCUUUGAGCUUUGCUCCUGAGGAAGAAAAUAAAACAUUAGCCUUCUCUUGCCAUUGUGGAGAGCCAGCGGAAGGCAUUGAUCCAACUAUGAAAGCAGAUGUUGAAUCCAAAAUUUAUACAAAAUUUCUGUUUCCAAGCAGAAACAAAAAUGAGUGUAAGAAGUGACCGUCAAUACCAAUAGCUAAAUUCUCCACAAAUUUAAAAAGUAAAUAAGAACAAAAACAGUUUGGUGAUGUUCACUAUCAUUUUCUGUCUCACCCUCUUAAGCAGCCAAACAAAUUCGAUGCAUCCAAAAUCCAUUAUUGUCGCAAUAUUAAAAUUAAAAUAAAGACAAACUUCUAACAAAUCGUAACGGGAAAAACAGAAAAACAACAUAUACAUACUACACAUGUCUCAUAAUCAUUAAAAUUUUGAAGAAAAACCCUUGACAAUAUCGCUUAUAUGGGUUCUUGCUCUGUGGUGAUAACCAUAAGUUUCUACAGCUAAAAUCAAUCAACCAAUCGAUCUCUGAACGUUUUCAGUUUCAAAUUUCAUUUGCUUUGAUAACAGAAUAAAAUAAAAAUUAGAUUAUAUAAAUCUGCGUCUAAGCUCAAAAUCACGAAUUUCAGUUCCCAACAACCAAACGUUAACAAAAACAAAACAAUAACAGAAAAAAAAAAAAUCA
rnacentral:misc_RNA from 1 species